GUGCUUAACACAUGCAAGUCGAGUGCGCAGUUUUCCGUAGCAAUACGGAAAACCGGCGCACGGCGCACGGGUGAGUAACACGUGGGCAACCUGCCCUACAGAGGGGGAUACCCCCGCGAAAGCGGGACUAAUACCGCAUGAAAUUCCGGUGGCUUCGGCUGCUGGACUCAAAGUCCGCAAGGACGCUGUUGGAGGGGCCCGCGCCCGAUUAGCUUGUUGGUGAGGUAACGGCUCACCAAGGCAAUGAUCGGUAGCCGAUCUGAGAGGAUGAUCGGUCACACUGGAACUGAGACACGGUCCAG
rnacentral:rRNA from 1 species